AUUGAACGCUGGCGGCAUGCCUUACACAUGCAAGUCGAACGAGUGGCGGACGGGUGAGUAAUGUCUGGGAACCUGCCCGGUGGAGGGGGAUAACUACUGGAAACGGUAGCUAAUACCGCAUACCAUCGGAUGUGCCCAGAUGGGAUUAGCUAGUAGGUGGGGUAACGGCUCACCUAGGCGACGAUCCCUAGCUGGUCUGAGAGGAUGACCAGCCACACUGGAACUGAGACACGGUCCAGACUCCUACGGGAGGCAGCAGUGGGGAAUAUUGGACAAUGGGGGAAAGCCUGAUGCAGCCAUGCCGCGUGUAUGAAGAAGGCCUUCGGGUUGUAAAGUACUUUCAGCGGGGAGGCGUUACCCGCAGAAGAAGCACCGGCUAACUACGUGCCAGCAGCCGCGGUAAUAC
rnacentral:rRNA from 1 species